AUCACUGAUUUGCAGUAGAUGGUUUAUAUUUAAUGGAGUGAGUGUGUUUUUUGUUUUUAAUAUUAACUUAUUACAACAUGCAACUUGUGAGUUAAAUUUAGGAUGCAAGCACAUUAAUAUUAAUAUGGGUGUUAUAUUACAAACUUAUUAAUGUGGGUAUUACAUUGAGAAAAGUAUUAAAAUGUAUACAAACUUUUAAUUUUUCUAAUGAGGUAUAGAAAAUAACAUGGAGUCAAAAUGAAAAUUUACUUAGGUUACUGCUUAGUUACUUAGCUGUUAGAACUCUGCUUGUCAGAAUUUGUUGCUUUUUCUAAUUAGUUAUUUCUGAGUGUCAAGAGCACACUAUUGUUAAUUUUGACUGAUGAAACAGUCAAUGAAACUUUUGUUACAUAAAUGUCAGAAUUAUGUGCUUGAUAACUUUAUUUUUUAUAGGACCUAAGCAUUUAAAAUAAUAUUUUUUGUUCAUAUGCUUGUAAGACCACUAAAUAAAUGAAUGCUUUAGGACCUAAUGUUUUCAAUGAAGACAGUAACUCAGAAUGGAUUAUGUAGCUGUCUUCAUUGGUCAAAAGUAUGUUAAUCUCUAUGUUCUUGAAACCCUCCUUAACUAAUGAACCAACUUCCAGGGCCAAGCUUGGGACUUAUCUCUUUGGAAUUUGAUUAACUGCCUAUUGGACCACUUGUGUACCUGAUCCUGUUUCCUCAUCUAUUUAAAGACGUGGUUCCAGAAGUUUUCCCUCAUUCUCCUGUAGUCAUCAUUUCCUCCCUUUCUGCUGGAUUCUUCUCAUUAACAUGUAAACAUGCUGUUAUUUCUCCCAACCAAAAAUAAAAUGAUAUUUUU